rnacentral:rRNA from 1 species
CAGCAGCCGCGGUAAUACGUAGGGUGCAAGCGUUAAUCGGAAUUAUUGGGCGUAAAGAGCUCGUAGGCGGUUUGUCGCGUCUGCUGUGAAAACUGGAGGCUCAACCUCCAGCCUGCAGUGGGUACGGGCAGACUAGAGUGCGGUAGGGGAGAUUGGAAUUCCUGGUGUAGCGGUGGAAUGCGCAGAUAUCAGGAGGAACACCGAUGGCGAAGGCAGAUCUCUGGGCCGUAACUGACGCUGAGGCACGAAAGCUAGGGGAGCAAACAGGAUUAGAUACCCCUGUAGUCCCUGUCUCUUAUAC